GUCAGUAGGGGCCGGGGUUUUCGACCUGCUGGCCGCGCAGCUGGCUUACGAGAGUUACAUGAAAGGGUCACAGGGUUGAGAGUUCAUGGUACGUUUUACUGAAACAGGACAUCCUCUUCUUCAAACGGGGUUCUGAACUGGAGAUGCGGUGACCAAGAAUUAAUAAUUACCAUGUACGUGCAAUUCUCUUUUUAACUCGAGAAGAAUAUAUCCAACAUUGUAAUAAGGCACAUCUGGUAUGCUCAAAUAAACAUUUAUAAUAUGUAGAACAUCCUUUUGUGUAUAUGAACAACUGUAUUCUGGAGAAUUCUGUAGAUAGUACUCCACCAUGAUAUACGUAUAUCCUAA